ACUCAAAGGAAUAGACGGGGGCCCGCACAAGCGGAGGAGCAUGUGGUUUAAUUCGAUGAUACGCGAGGAACCUUACCUAGACUUGAACGUAUUUGGAAUGAUUUGGAAACAGAUCAGCCGCAAGGCCAUUUACGAGGUGCUGCAUGGUUGUCGUCAGCUCGUGCCGUGAGGUGUUAGGUUAAGUCCUGCAACGAGCGCAACCCUUACCGUUAGUUACCAGCAUGUAAUGAUGGGGACUUUAGCGGAACUGCCGGCGCAAGCCGUGAGGAAGGUGGGGAUGACGUCAAAUCAGCACGGCCCUUACGUCUAGGGCGACACACGUGCUACAAUGGGUGGUACAGAGGGCAGCUACACCGCGAGGUGAUGCUAAUCUCCAAAACCAUUCUCAGUUCGGAUCGGAGUCUGCAACUCGACUCCGUGAAGUUGGAUUCGCUAGUAAUCGCUCAUCAGCCAUGGAGCGGUGAAUACGUUCCCGGGCCUUGUACACACCGCCCGU
rnacentral:rRNA from 1 species